GCCACUUGCGUAUUUUUAAUGUUUUCAAACUAAGCCAAAACCAAUCACCAGCGGGUUAUUUAGACCUAUGGCUGUGUCAUAAGUUCAUAACCGGAAAAUGUUUAGUCAAAAUAACCCGCUGGUGAUUGGUUUUGGCUUAGUUUGAAAACAUUAAAAAUAUGCAAAAGCGGCCUCGGUUUGCCCGUUCGAGCUGUAACAGUUUGUAUCUUAACUCGAGACAUGUCCUAUAGCCCGUGGCAAUUAGCAUUUUAUACUAUUCCUC